rnacentral:rRNA from 1 species
UCGGAAUGUAAAGAGCUUUUCUGGGGGAAGAAUCCCGUUUUGCGGGAUGACGGUACUCCAGGAAUAAGGGGUGACUAAACUCGUGCCAGCAGUAGCGGUAAUACGAGUGCCCCAAGCGUUAUCCGGAUUUAUUGGGCGUAAAGAGUCUGUAGGCGUUCUGUCGCAUCUUCCGUUAAAUCUUCAGGGCUCAACCUUGAAACUGCGGAAGAGAUGGGCGGAAUGGAGGGCGUUAGAGGCUGGAGGAACGGUCGGUGUAGGGGUGAAAUCCGUUGAUAUCGACCGGAACCCUAAAAGCGAAGGCAUCCAGCUGGGGCGACCCUGACGCUGAGAGACGAAAGCGUAGGUAGCGAAAAGGAUUAGAUAAAUCCUUGUCCGCAUUUGGCGGACUAAAUGGUGUCCUCCGUAUUGGCAACAAUAUGGUGAGCAUUCAGCUGUAUCGGGGAAACCCAUUUUAGCCUAAAUGGGUAAUCCCGAGGGAAGUUCUUGUUUAUUUUUAAUAAACAAGCAACCCCGUAGAGACUAUGUAAAUCAAAAAGAUAGAAAAGGUAGCAGAAAUGCUACCGAAGGCCUUGAUUCUUUAUAAGGACCGUGAUUUACAACAACGCUGGAUUUCUGAAGUUAGUGAAUUAACAGGCAUUUCUAAAGCAAUGAUAGAAAAGUAUAUUGCUAGAAAAAAAGGAAAAUGGAAAAGCUUCAGAAAAUGAUAUAGUCCGAUCCUCCGAGUAAUCGGAGUAAGCAAAAAUCUACAAGAUGACCCUUGUAGUCUACGCUGUAAACGAUGGACACUAGCUAUUUGAAGUGUCGACCCUUCAGGUGGCGAAGCAAACGCGUUAAGUGUCCCGCCUGGGAAGUACGGCCGCAAGGCUAAAACUCAAAGGAAUAGACGGGGAUUCACACAAGCGGUGGACCAUGUGGCUUAAUUCGACAACAAGCGAGGAACCUUACCAGGGCUUGAAAUCCUGCUAAAAUCCUGAUGAAAGUCGGGAGUUCUCACAAGGAUAGCAGGACAGGUGCUGCACGGCUGUCGUCAGCUCGUACUUUGAAGCGUAUGCUUAAGUGCAACAACGAGCGCAACCCCUAUUUCGCGUUACAAGUGUCGCGAAAAACUGCCUGGGACAACCAGGAGGAAGGUGGGGAUGACGCCAAGUCAGCGUGGCCCUUUGACGUCCUGGGCUGCACACGUGGUACAAUGGGGCUGACAAUGGGUUGCGAAAGCGCAAGCUGGAGCUAAUCCCACCAAACGGCCUCUCAGUUCGGAUUGAGGUCUGCAAUUCGACCUCAUGAAGCCGGAAUCGCUAGUAAUCGCCAAUCAGCCACGUGGCGAUGAAUAUGUUCCUGAGCCUUGUACUCACCGCCCGUCAAGUCAAGCGAGCUGGGAAUACCCGAAACACCUGUAUGGGUACUACGGUAGGCCCAGUAAGAGGGACUAAGUCGUAACAAGGCACGGGUAGCGGAAGCUGUCCGUG